AUCGAUGAAGAACGCAGCGAAAUGCGAUAAGUAAUGCGAAUUGCAGAAUUCAGUGAGUCAUCGAAUCUUUGAACGCACAUUGCGCCCUUUAGUAUUCUGAAAGGGCAUGCCUGUUCGAGCGUCAUUAUCACUAAUCAAGCUCGGCUUGCUGUUGGACCUCUUGUCGUUAAAGACAGGCCCCAAAGAUAAUGACGGUGUUAUUAGAACCCUAUAUGCAACGAGCUUUAAUCAGCACGCAUGUUAGUGGCCUUUUAACCCGGUCUUGCUUUACCAAUUUUAAGGUUGACCUCGGAUCAGGUAGGAAUACCCGCUGAACUUAAGCAUAUCAAUAAGCGGAGGAAAAGAAACCAACAGGGAUUACCUCAGUAACGGCGAGUGAAGCGGUAAUAGCUCAAAUUUGAAAUCUGGCUCUUUCAGGGUCCGAGUUGUAAUUUGUAGAGGAUGUUUCGGGCACGGUUGCGGUUUAAAUUUCUUGGAACAGAAUGUCAAAGAGGGUGAGAGUCCCGUCUUGAACCGAUUACUUCGUCCAUGUGAAACUCCUUCGACGAGUCGAGUUGUUUGGGAAUGCAGCUCAAAAUGGGUGGUAAAUUUCAUCUAAAGCUAAAUAUUGGCCAGAGACCGAUAGCGCACAAGUAGAGUGAUCGAAAGAUGAAAAGCACUUUGAAAAGAGAGUUAAACAGUAUGUGAAAUUGUUGAAAGGGAAGCGCUUGUAAUCAGACUUGAGCUUAACAGUUCCCCCUUCGUUCUCGUUGGGUUAUUCUGUUUUGUCCAGGCCAACAUCAGUUCGGGUGGUUGGUUAAAGACUUUAGGAAUGUAUCUACCUUUCGGGGUCGACUUAUAGCCUAGAGUGUCAUGCAGCCUACCUGGACUGAGGAACGCGCUUCGGCUCGGAUGUUGGCGUAAUGGUUAUAAGCGACCCGUCUUGAAACACGG
rnacentral:rRNA from 1 species